rnacentral:tRNA from 2 species
UGGGGUGUCGCCAAGCGGUUAAGGCACCGGAUUUUGAUUCCGGCAUUCGUAAGUUCAAAUCUUGCCACCCCAGCCA